CCCCAAUUCGUUGCUUUCAGCCAUCUGUGGACCCCAAUGUCUUCUUGCGUAACUGAUGACCUUGCCAAGGGACAUGCUUCUGGAAUCCCUCAUGAUACUGAUGGGAUGCUACUAUGUGUUCCAGUUAACAUAUUCCAAGUACUCAAAGAUUUUAUUCACGAGAGUGACAAGACGACAACAUAUAAAAAGGUGCUUGCUGACUGUCAAGCAUUCAUCCAAACCUA